GAUGAACGCUAGCGGCAGGCCUAAUACAUGCAAGUCGAACGGUGUCUUCGGACAUAGUGGCGCACGGGUGCGUAACACGUAUGCAACCUACCUUACAUUGGGGGAUAGCCUUUCGAAAGGGAGAUUAAUACCGCAUAAGACAGUAGCUGGGCAUCCAGCAGCUGUUAAAGAUUUAUCGAUGUAAGCUGGGCAUGCGUACAAUUAGCUAGUUGGUGAGGUAACGGCUCACCAAGGCAAUGAUUGGUAGGGGAACUGAGAGGUCAAUCCCCCACACUGGCACUGAGAUACGGGCCAGACUCCUACGGGAGGCAGCAGUAGGGAAUAUUGGGCAAUGGACGCAAGUCUGACCCAGCCAUGCCGCGUGCAGGAUGAAGGCGUUAUGCGUUGUAAACUGCUUUUAUGCAGGAAGAAACGACUCUUGCGAGAGGCAUUGACGGUACUGUAUGAAUAAGCACCGGCUAACUCCGUGCCAGCCGCCGCCGUAAUAC
rnacentral:rRNA from 1 species